GUGCCGUCAGGGACCUCACUAACUGGGGUUCUUCUCUUGGCCUUAAGUAGACGAGAAGAUGGGCUGGAGUGGAAGUCGUCAGCCUAGCACCUUCCCACAGAGCUCCACGGGGAUGCUUGGUGGAAUGUCUGAGUCCACUUCAAUAGAAUGUUAGCAACAACACAAGACUGUAUAAGAGUCUGAGGAAAUACAAGCCUGUCCCCUGGGACUCUUCAGUGGGGACCACAGCUAGAAUAGGGGCUGGAGCUGACAUUCCUCUCUGUGUUCACCAGACCUUCAUUCCUUCUGAUUUCUCUUUUCCAGACCAUUUUCCCUUUUACCCAAACCUAGCUCUAAACUGGCUUUCCCCCCGAGAUUCCAUCUCACCAUUUAUUCUGCAUUAGCCCAACGUCUACCUGUUCCGCUCCUGAGAUGUCAACAGUACACUGUUGGUACCAAUAACAGCCCUUACGUCUCUGCCCAUUCCUACAUUUCCUGGAGCUUUGUUCAUCUAUCUCAUUUAAACCUUCCAACAACUUUAUAAGUAUCAUACCGCAGUUUAUAGAUGAGGAAAUGAAUUCAAAGAAGUGGUUUGCCCUAGAGUAAUCGUUCAAGGAACACUGUUUACGACUGCUGUGUUGUGCUCCACUGGCGGAUAUUUCUGCACUCAGGCAGGGAUCGGCACAUUACUGGAAGCUGGAAGCAUUUUUCUUUACUAACCCAUCAGUUCUGCUUUCCAUUCAUGUUUAUGAGACAGAUUAAAAAUCAGCUUCCCAAGAAGAAUAAAGAGCUUGUCAUCCAUCAA